GCCCUAGUAACGGCGAGUGAAGCGGCAAAAGCUCAAAUUUGAAAUCUGGCACCUUUGGUGUCCGAAUUGUAAUUUGGAGAGGCAACUUCGGGUAGGACCCAGUCUAUGUUCCUUGGAACAGGACGUCAUAGAGGGUGAGAAUCCCGUUCAUGACUGGAUGUUCCUACUAGUACGUAGUGCCUUCUACGAGUCGAGUUGUUUGGGAAUGCAGCUCAAAAUGGGUGGUAAAUUUCAUCUAAAGCUAAAUAUUGGCGAGAGACCGAUAGCGCACAAGUAGAGUGAUCGAAAGAUGAAAAGCACUUUGAAAAUAGAGUCAAAAAGUACGUGAAAUUGUUGAAAGGGAAGCGCUUGAGACCAGACUCAGCCUUUGGUAAACAAGUGUCCUUCUGGGCAUUGCACUUGCCUCGGGUUGGGCCAGUAUCAGUUAGGAUGGUAGGAGAAAGGCCAGGAGAAUGUGACUCCAUUUUGGAGUGUUAUAGAUCCUGGUGUCAUGCUACCUGUCCUGACUGUGGACCGCGCAUUAGCUAGGAUACUGGCGUAAUGGUCUUCAGCGACCCGUCUUGAAACACGG
rnacentral:rRNA from 1 species